rnacentral:rRNA from 1 species
UACGGAAGGCAGCAGUGGGGAAUAUUGCACAAUGGGCGCAAGCCUGAUGCAGCCAUGCCGCGUGUAUGAAGAAGGCCUUCGGGUUGUAAAGUACUUUCAGCGGGGAGGAAGGCGAUGCGGUUAAUAACCGCGUCGAUUGACGUUACCCGCAGAAGAAGCACCGGCUAACUCCGUGCCAGCAGCCGCGGUAAUACGGAGGGUGCAAGCGUUAAUCGGAAUUACUGGGCGUAAAGCGCACGCAGGCGGUCUGUUAAGUCAGAUGUGAAAUCCCCGGGCUUAACCUGGGAACUGCAUUUUGAAACUGGCAGGCUUGAGUCUUGUAGAGGGGGUAGAAUUCCAGGUGUAGCGGUGAAAUGCGUAGAGAUCUGGAGGAAUACCGGUGGCGAAGGCGGCCCCUGGGACAAGACUGACGCUCAGGUGCGAAAGCGUGGGGAGCAAACGAGGGAUUAGGAUACC